AGUCACUGAUGAUUUAAGAUGUAUAAGAGUAGUGGACAGAAGAGAUUUCUGAGCAACACGAAACUGAGACU
ensembl:snoRNA small nucleolar RNA SNORD75